GAUAACCAAGUAUUACUCUUGGAUCUAAAGUUGGACUAACCAAUCUAACUUCUCCUCCACCGGGAGCCCAUGUGUCAUAAGCACCACCGAUAAACAUCCAAUCUGCGACGAAAAAUAAAGCACCAACUCCUAAAACUACUAGGUGAUAACCCAAUAUAUUAGUCAUUUGGUUUUUAUCUCUCCA
rfam:Prochlorococcus marinus MED4 complete genome.